rnacentral:rRNA from 1 species
UACGUAGGGUGCGAGCGUUAAUCGGAAUUACUGGGCGUAAAGCGUGCGCAGGCGGUUUUGUAAGCCAGAUGUGAAAUCCCCGGGCUUAACCUGGGAAUGGCAUUUGGGACUGCAAGGCUUGAGUGCGGCAGAGGAGACUGGAAUUCCUGGUGUAGCAGUGAAAUGCGUAGAUAUCAGGAGGAACACCGAUGGCGAAGGCAGGUCUCUGGGCCGAUACUGACGCUGAGGAGCGAAAGCGUGGGGAGCAAACAGG